rnacentral:rRNA from 1 species
AAAGGUCGAUUCUGGCUCAAGAUGAACGCUGGCGGCGCGCCUAACACAUGCAAGUCAAGCGAAGCGGUUUUAAGGAUGUUUUCGGAUGGAAUUAAAACUGACUGAACGGGGGACGGUUGAUUAACAAUUGGGUAACCUGCCUCAUACGGGGGGAUAACGUUUACAAAUGGCUGCUAAUACCGCAUAACCACACAGCUUCGCAUGGAGCAUUGUGAAACACUCCGGUGGUAUGAGAUGGACCCGCGUUUGAUUAGCCAGUUGGUAAGGUAACGGCUUACCAAGGCGACGAUCAGUAGCCGACCUGAGAGGGUUGACCGGCCACAUUGGGACUGAGACACGGCCCAAACUCCUACGGGAGGCAGCAGUGGGGAAUAUUGCACAAUGGAGGAAACUCUGAUGCAGCGACGCCGCGUGAGUGAAGAAGAAUCUCGGUAUGUAAAGCUCUAUCAGCAGGGAAGAAAAUGACGGUACCUGACUAAGAAGCCCCGGCUAACUACGUGCCAGCAGCCGCGGUAAUACGUAGGGGGCAAGCGUUAUCCGGAUUUACUGGGUGUAAAGGGAGCGUAGACGGCGGAGCAAGUCUGAAGUGAAAGCCCGGGGCUCAACCCCGGGACUGCUUUGGAAACUGUUCUUCUAGAGUGCUGGAGAGGUAAGUGGAAUUCCUAGUGUAGCGGUGAAAUGCGUAGAUAUUAGGAGGAACACCAGUGGCGAAGUCGGCUUACUGGACAGUAACUGACGUUGAGGCUCGAAAGCGUGGGGAGCAAACAGGAUUAGAUACCCUGGUAGUCC